rnacentral:lncRNA from 1 species
CUUGCCUUUUGUCUUAGUUUUGAACUUAUUCUUGUCACUCAAUUUGUUUUUAUUUUUAAUAAAAGUCUUAGAGUGAUAAUUUGAUUUACCAAAAAAAUUUCCUUUUACUAACAAAUUAUCUCCAUUUUGACUAUUACUUGAAUUCGCUUUCAUCACUAGAGCCUCAUUUCUUAGGGAAUUAAUUAUGAUAUCAGUUGUAAGUUCUUCCAUACCAUACUCUAGAAUAACCUUGAUGUAUUUAUAUCUAUCACUAAUGUAGUUUAAUAAGACUAUAGCCAUCAAAUCUUUUGAAAGUUUUCCAUCACAGUUGGUUAAGUCUUGGGUAAGUUUUGUAAUUUUGUUUUAAGUUUUCAUCCAAAUCAACUGAGGGAUCCAUUUUGAAAGAAAAGAAUUGUUUCAGUAGGAAACAUCUAUUGGGAAUAGUUUUUGUCACAUAUAUAACAUGAAGUUUAGUUGACAAUUCAUAAGCGAUUUUCAUUUCACCAAUAAUUCUCAUCACAUUUUAGACAAGUAUAAGAAGAUAGUGCUCCCAGCAACUUCUUCAAUUUCAUUUUUCCUUGCAGAAAGUAAGUCAGCAUGCCAAC